GAAAGAGUGGCAGUUUUGAAAUAUCACAACCAUCGCUCCGUGUCUCCGUUGUCUUCUGAUUUUCCUCCUAAUCGGAGAAGAAGGGCCACCAAAUCCACGUUGUACGUCGUCGUUUUUUAAGGCAUCGAAACCUUGGUCCUUCGAAUUCGUGGUUUUCUGAUUCUUCCCGGCGCUCCUCAAGCGUAUGGCAGCCCGAGCGCGCGGCGCUCUCGAUUGCUUCCAUGGUCUGAUCUUCAGCGAAUCGCAAUCCGACUGUGGCAAUACCAAUCGGCGAACGUGGAUCUCUUCGAUGCGUAUUUCCGACGAGCCGGUUUGGACCGCGAUGAUCGGAUUAGUGGCAAUGAAGCCGUCGCUUUCUUCCAGGGCUCCGGUCUCUCCAAAUAGGUCCUUGCCCAGAUAUGGGCAUGUGCAGACCAGGAGCAGACUGGUUUCGUUGGUCGGGCAGAGUUUUACAAUGCCCUUAGAAUUGUCACUGUGGCACAAAGUAAGAGAGAACUUACACCAGAAAUGGUGAAGGAAGCAUUAUAUGGCCCGGCUGCAGCUAAAAUACAUGCACCCAAGAUAAAUCUUGCUGCGACUCCUGUGCCUCAGUUCAAUUCUGCUGCAGCAGCACCUGACAUUCAAGGUGGUGUUGUCACUCUGACAUCCUCACGAAAUCUUGGGUUCAGGGGACCGCAAUUACCACCUCAGCAUAAUUCUGCUGGAGCAGCAGGUGCCACUCAGGGUGGCACUGUCACUCCGACGUCCUGCCAAAACUUGGGUUCAGGGGACCACAAAUACAAUCUCGGUUUAAUUCUGCUCCAACAGCUACUCAGAGUUGUUUAGGGAGGGACGCCCUCUUCCAGCAGUGCUACCAAGCAAUGUUAUGUUUGAUGUAUCCAAUAUUUUUCAACUUGCAACUAAUUACUCUAAUGCUGGCAAUCUCGCCCGGAGACCUGCAUCUGUUAUUCAUCCUUAAAACAAAUCACUUUUUUAUUUUUUGAAACCUUGUCUUUCUUUGAUGGAGAAUAGUUUCUUAUUUUUCACUUCCUAAGGCUUUCAACAGCAACCGAUGCCAAUUGCUCCUUCUCAUGCUGAAGAAAAGCAGCAGGCCAAUCAGCAGAAACCCAGAGUACCAGAAUUGGAGAAACAUCUUGUAAAUCAACUGAGUACAGAGGAGGUUAACUCACUGAACUCAAAGUUAAAACAAGCAACCGAAGCUAAUAAACAGGUACUUGGAAAUUUUGUAUUUCAUUUCUUUGUACAUGCAUCUCGUUUUUUCUCCAUUCUUUUUUUUCUUUUAGCUUGUUACGCGACGUAUAAUUUUUCCCCUGAACUUUGGAAUGUUCCUA